AGGACACACUACGUUUUCCUGAAAACAGGUCCGGUUUCAAAACUGUGCGCUGAGCACGGCCCAGAAGACAUCGAUCAGGCACAAAGCUGGACACCUGGAGUGAAACAAGCGCUUGCGCACUGUGCCUGGGAAGCCGAUUAGGACCACAGGAGAGAGGCUCGUCGUGACCAGCGCCCUCUGUCGGCGGAGAGGGAGGCAGAGAAAGAAACGUUGAUACAAGAGAGAAGCACUGAUCCGUUGCCUCCCAUACACACCCAGACCAGGGAUCGUAUGCACCCAGACCCUGACCUGGGAUCAGGGAUGGAACCCACAACCUAGUGUGGCCCAGAGAUGCAAAGAGGUUGGACACCCCUGUUCUAAAGGAUCUAUUUUGGAUAGAAGGAAACUGACCCCAGAUGAAAGGUCGGAGACACAAAAAAGAAGAACAAGGACCUCUCGUCAAGAUGGCAGCAUAGGUAAACACAGCUUGCCUCCUUGCACAAACAUGAGAAAAUUACAACUAAAAUAUAGAACAACCAUCACUCAGAACUGUCAGAAAUAAAGUUGAAUGGAAGUCUGACAAUUACAAAUUAAAGAAAACACACCCAUCUAGAUUGGUAGGAGGGGCGGAGACAUGGAACGGGCCGGUCCCACAUCCGCCCAUGAAGGAUAAAAUUUGGAAGAGAUAUCUUAGGAGCAAGGAGUCCCAGCCUCACACUAGACCCCACAACCUAGGGUUCCAGUGCCAGGGAAAUAAGUCCCCACAGCUUCUGGCUGCAAAAAACAGCAGGGAUUGGUCAGUGAAAGAACAUGCUGGAGCCCCAAGCAGUUCCUCUUAAAGAACUCUCACACAGACUUAAACUCACUCCCUCUGAGCUCCAGCACUGGGGUAGCAUCUUGAGGGGCACCAUUGACAUACAGGGAGAAACUGGAAUGUCUGGCAUCAAGGUGAGAGCCAGGGGACAGCUUUGUCCCAGACAAAAGGUGGGCAGAGGCCAUUGUUCCUUUUCUAAACCCUCCCUCCACAGAGCCACAGAGCCAGCAGGCUUUUGCCAUAUAUGAGACUCCAUCAACCUGGCUAACACUGUCUGCCCUGAAGAUCCCCAGAGACUCAGUCCCACCCACUUAUUGGCCCACAGAAGCUGCUUUUCCAUAUGAAUGGCUGCUCUUGGCUCAUGCUUCACAACUUACUAAAUCCUCUCAAACAAGCAACAGUCAGCCUCAGUGAGCCCCCAGCCCCCAUAUCUCUUGCUAAGGGGCCCCAGGCCCAGCACAAGCGGCAGUCAUCUCAGAUUGCUAAUAGCUCAGGCAGAACACAGGUGAGGGCUGACCUUGGCCUGCACCACCCAGGAAACCCGAGAGCCUGCACAAGUGGACAGCUAUAGACCACAUCAAAGCACCACUACCCUGCCCACCCAACAGCUGAUCCUCCACAGAGGACAGAGGUUGGUGGACAGCGGUCAUAGUCAGUCCUUGCAGCUGACCGGCCUGGGUAAAUCCCUCCAAUUGACCUGCCAACAGCAAUCAAGGCUCAACUGCAAAAGAAGAGUGUAAUCAGACCCCUCGAAGGGCAUACCUCAAGUACCCAGCUUGGGUGACAGGGGAGGCUGUACCACUGGACCCUACAGGACACCUAUUACAUUAGGCCAUGCUACCAAGACAGGGAGUCAUAGAAGCUCUACCUAAUAUGUAGAAACAAACACAGGGAAGCUGCCAAAACAAGGAGACAAAGAAACAUGGCCCAAAUGAAAGAACAGAUCACGACUCCAGAAAAAGAGCUAAAUGAAAUGGAGGUAAGUAACUAUCAGAUGCAACAUUCAAAACAUUGGUUAUAAGGAUGCUCAAGGAACUUAGGACCUCAGCAGCAUAAAAAAGAUCCAGUCAGAAACAAAGGAUACACUAAUUUAAAUAAAGAAUAAUUUACAGGGAAACAACAACAGAGUGGAUGAAGCCAAGAAUCAAAUCAAGGAAGCUAAAAACCAAUCAGGACAACAAGAAGAAAAAAGAACCCCCCAAAAUGAGGAUAGUAUAAGCAGCCUCUGAGACAACUUCAAGAGGCCCGACAUUCUUAUCAUAGGGGUGCCAGAAGGAGAAGAGAAAGAGCAAGAAACUGGAAAUCUACUUGAAAAAAUAAUGAAAGAAAACUUCCCUCAUUUGGUGAAGGAGAUAGACAUGCAAGUCCAGGAAGCACAGAGAGUCCCAAACAUGACGGAUGCAGAGAGGCCCACUCCAAGACACAACAUAAUUAAAAUGCCCAAGGUUAACGAUAAAGAGAGAAUCUUAAAAGCAACAAGAGGAAAGAAGUUAGUUACCUCCAGGGGUAUUCCCAUAAGACUGUCAGCUGAUUCCUCAAAAGAAACUUUGCAAGCUAAAAGGGAUUGGCAAGGACUAUUCAAAGUCACAAAAAGCAGGGACCUAUGGCCAAGAUUGCUCUACCCAGCAAAAAAUAUCAUUUAUAAUCAAAGGGCAGAUAAAGAGCUUCCCAGAACAAGAAAAAAACUAAAGGAGUUCACCAUCACAAAACCAUUACUAUAUGAAAUGUUAAAGGGACUUAUUUAAGAAAAGAAGAUCAAAACUAUGAACAAUAAAAUAUCAAUAAAUACAUAUCUAUCAACAAUUCAGGGGUGAGGGAUAGAAAAAAAAUUCAAUCUAAAAAACAAACUAAGCAACCCAGAGCAACAGAGACAGAAUCCUGGAUACAGAGAGCAUUUUGAUGGUUGCCAGAUGGAAGGGGGGUGCGGGAGAAUGGUUGAAGAGGUGAGUGGAUUAAGAAGUACAAAUAGGUAGUUACAGAAUAGCCAUGGGGAUGUAAAGUACAGAAUAGGAAAUGGAGUAGCCAAAAAACCUACACGCAUGACCCAUGGACAUGAACAAUGGUGUGGAGAUUACCAGGGGGAGUAGGGGCUGCUGGGUGGGGGGGGACAAAGGGGGACAAUGGGACAACUUUAAUACCAUAAUCAAUAGGCUGUAAUUUU